AUACGUAGGUGGCGAAGCGUUGUCCGGAUUUACUGGGCGUAAAGGGAGCGUAGGCGGAUACUUAAGUGGGAUGUGAAAUACCCGGGCUCAACCCGGGUGCUACAUUCCAAACUGGGUAUCUAGAGUGUGGGAGAGGAAAGUGGAAUUCCUAGUGUAGCGGUGAAAUGCGUAGAGAUUAGGAAGAACACCAGUGGCGAAGGCGACUUUCUGGACCAUAACUGACGCUGAGGCUCGAGAGCGUGGGGAGC
rnacentral:rRNA from 1 species